rnacentral:misc_RNA from 1 species
GGAUUAAUAUGUUUUAUUCAUUUCAUCAAAGUGGAUAAUUUUUUACAAGCCAACUUGCAAUUGCAGAAUGAACAAAUAUUGGUUAAAAUCUUCAAUCCUUUUUACAACCAUUUUCAGCAGCAACACAGCAGUGGAAAACCUUCAAGUCACAUUUAGGAGAAACCAAUUUCAGAAAGAUCCUAGCAGUGUCCUCUUGCCUUACCUUUGCCCCUUCCUUUUCCACCAAAGCCGCCGCCACUAUUCGCUCAUACCCACCACCUCCUUCAGCCACAAAAGCCACCAACGCCGCCUGCAUUGGUCCUAAACUUGGAUUAUAAGCAGCAGAUUCCACAUAAGAACCUUUAUAGAUCUUCCCAUCACAAUCCAUAAUUGCUACCCCUGAUGGACACUCACUGUAAGGUGCGUGUGAAUUAUUAGCACCUCCUAAAGCUGCAAUCCUUAAAAGGGUACUCUCUGUUUCUGUCAAUUUAUAAAACCCAUUACUCAGAUUUUUUCCCGAUUUCAAAUCGUCAUCUGAAAACCCAUUGCAUAGAUCUCCAACGUGAUUAAUCUCAUAGGACAGGAUUAAAUUGUUGUUAUGUCGCUCGAGGAGUAAAGGAGUUUCGUCAUCAAGGAGAUCGAAUGGACCAAAUGGAUUAGGGAGAAUCUCACGCAAAGGUUCGAAUAUGACAUCUGGAUUGUUUUGGUGUUGAGAUGUGAUAUGGAUUUGGAGAUCGGAAGAAUUACGGAGUUCUUGAAGGAACUGUCGGCAGUGGCCACAAGGGGCGGCGGAGACAGCAAAUGCAACGAGGCGGGGGCAGAGGUGAACAGCAAGGUUAGUGAUGAGAAACUGCUCAGCGUUAACCUUGAAUUUCCUGGAUUACCCCUUCAUCA